rnacentral:tRNA from 1 species
CGAAAUGUAGUAUAACUAAAACUACUUGCUUACACCAAGCCGAUAUCUGUGAAACUCGGAUCAUUUCGA